GCCCUUGGGCAUCAGCAAGCCUGUGAGAAUGACCAACAUCUUAUGGAUGCUACAAGCCCAGAAGGACUGGGCCUGCAACAGACCACCAAUUCCAAGACACUCUCAGCCCCGAUGGCACAUGAAAGGGGUCCAGAAUUCCUGUCCCCAUUAGAAGGAUACAGGGGUGGUUGGACAUAUUAUCUGAUCAUGUUGUCAGCAGGAUCACCAUGGUGAGUGAUGAAGUGACCCCAUUACUAAAUCUUUCCAUUUAAUGGGUCAAGGCCAUUGAAUGGAAAGAUUUAGAACAAAUGGGAAUAUUAGCCACAUCUUCAGGGGUCCAUUGUAUCAGCAGUGUCAAAGCAGGCCCAAGCCAGUUGGGCGUUGAUGUUUCUGGAGCAACUGGAUAGUCAUACGGGGGAAGAAAUGAACCUUGACCUUUACUUCACACCAUUCACAAAACUUCAUUUGAAAUCAAUCAUAGACAUAAAUGCUUAAGCUAGAACUACGGAAAGUCUAGAAGAAAACACAGGAGAAAAUCUUUGUGACCUCAGAAUAGGCAAAAGUUUCUUAAGAUGCAAAAAAGCAUGAACCCUAAAGGAAAUAAGUGCCAAAUUGGACUUCACCAAAGUUUAAAACUUAUGCUCUUCGGACAAUACCAUUAAGAAAAUGAAUGGGUAAGCAACAGAUUGACAGACAAUAGUUGCAAUGCAUAUAUCUGAUAAAGGACUUGUAUCCAUAAUAUGUAAAGAACUCUCACAAUGCAAUAAGAAGGCAGUCCCCGAAAAUGUGGGAAAGAUUUGAACAGAUGCUUCACAAAGGAGUUUCACAAAAGAUUUAUAGAUGUCCAAGAAGCACAUGAAAAUUGUUCAACGUCAUUAGUCACUAUGGAAAAUCAAAUUAAAACCACAAUGAGAUUUCACCCUACACUCAUUGGAAUGUCUAAAAUUUUAAAGACUGACAAUACCAAGUGUUAUGGAAGACAUGUAGCAACUAGAACUCACAUACAUUGCUGAUGAGAAUGUAAUAUGGUACAAUCCUUUGGAAAACAGCUACUGGUUUCUUAUAAAGUUAAACAUACACUUCCUUGUGACAAUAGUUCAAGUCUUGAGUUUUGUAUUUUCUUAGAUUCUGCAUUUGUCUAUUUGACAUCCGUUAAUUUCAGGGCCAAACUAACAACCAAAGUUGUUUACAUCUCCUCUGAGAUCCAGAGCCUAUACUCUGAACCACCUCCUUAUCUAACUCACAUACCAACCAAUAUUUCCCUGCCCUAAACCACCCAGGGCCAUGUAUCGGACAACCAGAGACCACCCUCAUAGCCCAGAGCCCACAUAUUUUUCAAUCCUAUGCUGUCUACCCACCCCUGCCCUGCCUUUCCCAAGGAAACUGUAAUAGAGUCUCUGGCCUAGGCUCUCCCCUCACUCUUGCUUCUGCCU
rnacentral:lncRNA from 10 species